UUUAUCCAUUAAGUCCUCUUUAUCAACAAGAAGCUACAAGAAAAAUCUAGAGAAAAGAAAGGGGAGAAACUUGAAGCUAGAGAGAGAUGGAGCUCGGAUUUGGGAGAAACAAAGCCCAAAACGUUACCAAACAGCCCCGAAGUUUCAGCUGCGCUAAGGAGGUUUCCGAGGCGCAAUUUUGGCUAGUUUUGGCCAAUUUCGGGUAAGGUUCAAAGGACGACGAGGCGAACGGGAUAAAGAGUAACCCGUAAGAGGUAUGUAAGGCCUAUUCUUUCUCUUCUUUUGGCAUGUCUUAGAGGCAGGUAAAAGGUGAUAUGAUCUCUGAAAUAAUUUCAUUUCUAAGUCUCUUAUUCACUUUUGGAUGAUGAAUUACUUUCCUAGAACUUUCUAUAUGUUAAGGAAGUAAUGAAUGUACAGACUCCUAGUCUUAAAGACUAUAGGAUGAUAAGUGCUGCCGAUUUCAUAAGUGGCUACUGGCUAGUAUUACUUUAGUACAUGUCUAGGAUCUCUGAGAUUCUAAUUGAUGCAGCCCCAAAUGGCAACUAGAAGACAUGUGAGGUGAUCACAUUACUACUCUGAUCCUCAAGUGCUAGCUUAUUCUUCUUAUAUGGUCGAGUCUCCAAUAAUGAUUUAAACUGCAUAUAAUUUAUCACUACUCUACUCGUAUAUACGGUAACAUAUCUUUCUCCGAGUCCCGGGCCGGCUACAGAUUUGUGCUUAAUCUCACUGCAUUGUUCACUGAGUCCCUUACUAGAGAGCCGGGUACGUAUGUAUAUAUACAUAUAUCAUACUGACCCCUUUCUUCGGGGGGCUGCAUUCAUGUCUGCAAGUACAGAUACACCGUUUGGGGAUCCGCCAGCAUAGGAGUCCCACUCAGCAGUCCGAAAGUGCUCCAUUGUGCUGGAGCCUGAUUUUGGGUACUAAACCUUAUUGUAUAUAUUUGUUUUGCUCACGGGUACGGCGGGGCCCUGUCCCGCCUUAUGUUACUGUUUUCUUACUCUUAGAGGUCUGUGGAUACGGAUGUGGGUUGUAUGUGUACGUGAGUUGUAUAUAUAUGUAUGUACAGCUGUAUUGAUAUGACUUAUGAUUUGGGGGCGUUCCCUAUGUCGUGGCGGCCUUGCCGGCUCGCGUAUAUGCGUGUUAUGGAACAAUCCUAUACAUUACUACAGCCUCGUCGGCUUGUAUAUUUUCU